rnacentral:misc_RNA from 1 species
GUGAAUCAUCAAAUUUUUGAACGCAAAUUGCGCUUCCUAGCAUCCCGGGGAGUAUGCCUGUUUGAGGGUCAGUAUUAACAAAAAAAUCGGUCUUGUUGCAAAUUGUGACGUUUCCGGAGGUUGGGCUAUCUUAACUUUUUUGGUUAAGGGGCUUAAAAUUGACCUUGUUUGCGCAUUUUUAGACUUACAUAAAUUUUUUUUUUUUGGUUUAUUUCUUAUUCCGA